GGAAAAGUCGACCAUAAGGGGGUAUGGGUGGGGCAAAUGUGUGAAAACAUGCCUAUCACAGCUGGCAUGGAUGUAUCCAAAUAGCCAGCAGGAAGAAGCUGAGAAUGAAACAGUGGUGAUAAUGGCCUAUGUACAGGAAGAAGAGGUAGAAAAGAAGCAAGAUGAACAGUUUUGAAGACCACUGAUCUGACUUCGGUCCUUAAAAAAAAGAUUUAAAAGAUAUUUAGGAGAUAGAAUCAACAGGAUUUGUAAAAGUGCAGCAUCGUUUAAGUAACUACCCUCAAGGAAGACUACCCUACCCUCAGUUCAGGGAUAAAGCCUAAUGCAUCUCCCACAUCACUCAUGAUAAUUGUGUUGUUCUACUUGCCGAGGAUUAGU
rnacentral:lncRNA from 1 species